CUCGGUUAAAGCAGCCAUCUCCUCUCCAAUCGUCCCCCAACUUCCCAUCCUAUCAGUCACAAGGCCAAACAAAUAUAAAAUUUACUCCUGCCACACGGAAGGAAACUUGUUUUCCUCAGGAAGGGUCUGGAAGGGAAAUGCAUUACUGUGAAGUACAGCUCUCACUCUUGUUAUUGGAGAAACUGUGUAUCAGCCUAUUACCACAGAUUUUAAAAAGACUCAUUCAUUAGUGUAGCGGUUAGACAACUGGGCCGCAAUCCUGUCGAUUACACUAAGCACCAUAAAGCAAUCAUACAGCCGGUGCUUCGCUGUCAAUGCACGAAUCAUUCUACCUAUAUGCAAUUUGGGGAACGGAGGAACCUUAUGAAAAGAUGAAUGACAGCAUUCCAAGGAAAGAAUAGAGAAAGGAAGGCUAAGGGAAGUGCUACAAAGUUCUACUUGGUAUUAUCUGAAAAAAAAUUUUUUUUAAUGAUUUUCCUUUAUUUCCCUCCCUCCCUGCCCUAUAAUCUGAUUGUUCUUAUCACCCGCUGAGAUCAGAGUGUAUAAGGCAUUGCUGAUCUCUACCUAUCUCCAGAAAUGGUUUUUCCUUUGGUUCCCAUCAUUCUGCUCUGCCUGGGUUGUCUAAGUUCUUACUUAGCAAAUGUUUACUGAGCGCCUAGCUUGUUUUAAAUGUUAUGCUAAAGGCUUCAAAUAAGUCAGUGAAGAGAGAAACAAAUAAUCUAAAGUUUCUUGGUCCCACUCCAGAACCUCUGUGUUGCUGUUAUGCCUCUUCACGUUUGGGUUAAGAGGGGAGUGUGCAAAUAACCUCUGUACCUGCCACAAAUAUUUAAAUGUUAGUUUAUUUCUUUGACUGUGAUAAAACGUACGUAAGGUUUGCCAUUUAAGUGUACAGCUCAUUGCUUUAAGUACAUUUACACUGUUGUACAACUGUUGUCACGAUCUCGUUCCAUUACUUAAAAAAAAAAUUUU